CAUCAUUUCCGUCUACCACCAUGGAUAUCUUCAGGAUAGUGAGUCAAGAGGCAGCCAACAUAAGCAACUUCUUCCUUACAUGUUGACUACCAGCAGAAAGAUGAGUGCCGGGACAAGAUUUCUCCUUCAAAAUAUUUCAAAUACUGAAUUCAGCACAUUUUAAAGUGCUGCGGGAUUGCCGGCCAAUGCUGUCCUGCUAAAGACUGCUAUGCCAUUCAUUUCCCUGGCUGUUAUAAGGAACUGAUGUGUCCAAUGGGUUGGUGGUGCUGUCCACGCUAUAGACUCCGUCCUGGAAAAUAACACCAUCACCAUCUACCACCAUGGAUAUCUUCAGAAUCUGGCCAAUGAUCUGACACCAUUGCUUGCUUUCUCUUCCUCUUUCUUUACAUAAAUCAAAUUGCUCCCUUCAAACUCUGAAACCUUUAUGCAUUGAAGUAAAACUUGGCAAAUAUUUCUUGAAAUAAAGCUAAAUGAGCAUUGCAGA